rnacentral:rRNA from 1 species
AUACGGAGGGUCCAAGCGUUAUCCGGAUUCAUUGGGUUUAAAGGGUCCGCAGGCGGGAAAAUAAGUCAGUGGUGAAAGCCUACAGCUCAACUGUAGAACUGCCAUUGAUACUGUUUUUCUUGAGUAUAGAUGAAGUGGGCGGAAUAUAUCAUGUAGCGGUGAAAUGCAUAGAUAUGAUAUAGAACACCGAUUGCGAAGGCAGCUCACUAAACUAUUACUGACGCUCAGGGACGAAAGCGUGGGGAGUGAACAGGAUUAGAAACCCGUGUAGUCC